rnacentral:lncRNA from 1 species
GGGGGGGGGGACGGUGUCCUUCAUGACUUUCAAUGAUUUAUUAUGAAGCACAACUUUAACAUUGAAGCUUAAAGGUGGCUCAAAGCUUAUAUUUUCCCUGGAACAUGCAACUAUGCACGAGUGUGGUAAUAUAGAACGUCGAUUCAUAGCUAUAUAUAGCCUAUCGGAGUAUCUCAAUAUAGAUUCCGUAGGAUCAGUGGCGGAUCCAGCCAUUCUAAAAAGGGGGGGGGUCCAACCCAGAACG